GAUGAACGCUAGCGGGAGGCUUAACACAUGCAAGUCGAGGGGCAGCAUAUCUAGCUUGCUAGAAGAUGGCGACCGGCGGACGGGUGCGUAACGCGUAUACAACUUGCCUAUCACUAGGGGAUAGCCAUUGGAAACGAUGAAUAAUACCCUAUGGUCUAUGGUAUUGCAUGAUACUAAUAGUAAAGGUUACGGUGAUAGAUGGGUAUGCGUCCAAUUAGCUAGUUGGUGCGGUAACGGCGUACCAAGGCGAUGAUUGGUAGGGGGCCUGAGAGGGUGAACCCCCACACUGGUACUGAGACACGGACCAGACUCCUACGGGAGGCAGCAGUGAGGAAUAUUGGUCAAUGGAGGGAACUCUGAACCAGCCAUCCCGCGUGUAGGAAGACGGCCUUAUGGGUUGUAAACUACUUUUAUACAGGAAGAAACGUACCCUCGUGAGGGUGCCUGACGGUACUGUAGGAAUAAGCACCGGCUAACUCCG
rnacentral:rRNA from 1 species